CCACCCCCACCCCCCUCGUGCCCGCUCCGCUACGUAUUCCCGUAUUCCCGGGUGCCUGGCAACAGUGAUGUGCUUUAGGCCUUUUUUAGAAUGCAUACAAACGGAACCAUAUCUAAGUGAUGUCUGGCUUUUUUAACUUAGCACAAUGCUUUGAGAUUCAUACUAUUGUGUUUAAUUAGUAAUUCAUUUGUGUUAUUGUUGAAUGGUAGUCUAUCAUAUGGGUAAGCCACAGUUUAUUUAUCCAUUCACCAAUUGAUGGGCCUGUCGGUUGUAGGGAACAGGAGAAAACUUCCCCUUUGCCCUCUGAAGGGUCACCGAAAAUCAACUGACAAGGCUGGGCCUGGGCUCCUGCCUGUAACCCCAGCCCUUUUUUAGCCCAAGGCAGGAGGAUCUCUUCUUUGUGAAGUGUGUAUUCAAAUCUUUUGACCAUUUAUUUAUUAGCUAGCUUGACUUUUUAUCUAAGAGUUCUUUAUAUAUUAUUGAGUUCUUUAUAUGUUUCAUACCAUGUUCUUUAUUAGCUAUACGUUUUGAAAUGUUUUCUACCUGUCUGUGGCUUGCCUCUUCAUUUUAAGUGUCUUUUGAAGCACUGAAGUUUUCAAUUUUGAUGUAAUUUAUCCAUUUUUUUCUUUUACAUAGUUCAUACCUUUUUUGUCCUACUUAAGACAUUUUUGCUAAAUUCAAGAUUAUAAGAUUUCCUCAUUUGUUACCUUCUGGAAGUUUUAUAAUUGUUGGUCUUCAUUAUAUUUAAAAUGAAUUAUUCUUUAUAGUAUCGAUAGAUGCUGGAGGCAGAUAAGGGAGGGUCCCUGGAGAAUCUCUGACCUGCCUCACAAGCUUUUGUGCAGCUGAGGAAGCCUGCCCAGGGUCUUGUCUGGGCAUGCCCACAAGGGACUUGGGGGCCCACUGCACCAGGAGAGUGGGGUGCAGCCAGAGGGAAUUCAGCCUUAUGCAGCAGGGAUGAGCAAGAAGUCUUCAGCUUGUGUGUGUUGGCCUGUUAUUCAGUCUGUGAGCUGGGAGCCUGUUGGCAGGACCCUCCUUGUUUUUUUGCUAAGAGCUUUUAAUAAAUGCCACUCUUCACCUUGCAAUGUAUUCACAUGCCUAAUUGUUCCUGGUCAUGAGACAAGAACCUGGAUUUUAGCUGAGCUAAGGAGCAAAAAUUCCUGCAUCAGUAUGAGGUGUAAGGAAGAACAGAAGGAUCCAAGUGUGAGAAAGCCCACCCUGAGUCUCUCAGAGAUUCAUUUCACUACCAGGUCAAAGACACAAUCAAAAGCCCGACAAAUGGAAUUUGUGGAAUUGGAACAAAAAGCUUUUCUUCCUAGGCACAAGAACAUCAAAGCAUAAAUCCUUCAGGUAUCAGCAAUGACAUCACUUAAGAAUUUCUCAGAAUCUUUGGCACCACCCCAGGCCUACCGGAUCAGAAUCUGAAUUUUUUAACAAGAUCUCAGAUCUAGUCAAGAGUCCAGUCUGAUUUCUCUUUAUUGGGACUACCACCCAAAGCAGAAUGAGGAUGAUGUAACCACGCCCAGUGACUUCUGGAUACCACUGACUCUAGAUCCUGAAUUCCAGCAGAAUGGCUGACACCAACUGGUCUGAAGACCCUCACCAAGGAACUGACUCAGUGCAGGAAUGCAGUUUCUUCAUCUCCCUAUCCCUGACUUCACCCCUCACUUCUCAACCAAUCAGUGAUCACCACACUUUAGGCCAUCACCUGUGUCCAGACCCCUUAAAAACCCCAUCUGCAAACCUCUUGAAGAGGCAUAUUUGAGGUUUCCUCUCAUCUCCUCAUUUGGUUUCCCUACAAUUAUUAAAUUCUUUCUCUGCUGCAACUCCUACUUUUUCAGUGUAUUGGUCUGUUACUGUGCAACAGGAAAUCAGACCUGGUGGUCCUAUAGUAAGAGUUCACAGAAUAUGAUAUACAAAGUGAUCUGUGAUAUACAAAAACCGGCACAAUCUCACUCUUAAUAAGAAAAAUUCAACUUAAAAUUAAAAGUUUUUUUUCCUCAGAAUGGCAAAGAUCAAAGUUUGAUAACAUGGUUGGAAAGUAUGCAGACCGAUAUUCUCAUAUUCAUUGAUGAAGUGUAAAUUGAUACAUCCUUUGUCAGUACGGACAGGUUUCCCAACUCUAGGGGUGAAAUUUAUACAGACUACAGUGUGAAUGACAACCACUUCAAAUUGGGUGAUAUGAUGACCUUGACUCUGUGGAGGGUCAUUUGGCAAAAUAUCUCAAAAUAAAAAUGUACAUACAAUUUGA
rnacentral:lncRNA from 1 species